CCUACGGGAGGCAGCAGUGAGGAAUAUUGGUCAAUGGGCGCAAGCCUGAACCAGCCAAGUCGCGUGAGGGAUGACGGUCCUAUGGAUUGUAAACCUCUUUUGUCGGGGAGCAAGGCCCGCCACGUGUGGCGGGAAGGAGAGUACCCGAAGAAAAAGCAUCGGCUAACUCCGUGCCAGCAGCCGCGGUAAUACGGAGGAUGCGAGCGUUAUCCGGAUUUAUUGGGUUUAAAGGGUGCGCAGGCGGAAUGUCAAGUCAGCGGUAAAAUUUCGGGGCUCAACCCCGUCGUGCCGUUGAAACUGGCGUUCUUGAGUGAGCGAGAAGUAUGCGGAAUGCGUGGUGUAGCGGUGAAAUGCAUAGAUAUCACGCAGAACUCCGAUUGCGAAGGCAGCAUACCGGCGCUCAACUGACGCUCAUGCACGAAAGCGUGGGUAUCGAACAGGAUUAGAUACCCCAGUAGUC
rnacentral:rRNA from 1 species